rnacentral:tRNA from 1 species
GUGACCAUAGCUUAAUUGGGUAAAGCUUCGAGUUGUGAUCUCGAAUGAUGCCGGUUCAAAUCCGGUUGGUCACCCCA